rnacentral:lncRNA from 1 species
UUACCAUACACAUAAUUUAAAUUUAACAUCAAAUAAUAAAUAAUUUGAAUUAUAGUAAUACAAACCCGAAUUUUGCUCGAUUAUUCCUCAAUAACCUUCUCCUUUCCUUUGUGUGCCGAUGCCUCGAGUUCCUUGUUAGCUACGAAAAUAAUAAUAAUUUACACCAUCAAUUACAACAUUAAUUUAUAAUAAUAAUAAAAUUUCUAUCUAAUUUAUACUUUAAUUCCAAUUUAAUCCUAACUAAAUUUAUUUACUUUUCUAAUUUAAUUCACACUCUAUUUCUAUUCAAAUUUCUUCUAAACUCAAAUUUAACUACCAAAUUUUCAGCAUAUUUCAUUAAUUUCGAAUUUUCCUCAAUUUAAUCCCUACAAGCAUAAAACUUAUAGCUUACUUCACAAUUUAAUCCUUUUAUCAACUCUAACUAGAAAUUCUAUCAAAUAAAACCUUAAUUCCAUCAUUUAUUCAACACAAACCCUACUAAAAAAUCUAUCAACUUUCAAAUUUUCAACUUAAAUCCAAGAGUAUUUCACUCUAGGGUUCCAAAAAACAUCAAAUUUAUGAGAAAAGGACUUGAUUUAGCUUACCUAUUAAACUUCAAGCUUCAAAAUCUCAAUUUUCCCUCUUUCUUUUCUUUCCCUUUUUCUUCCCCUGUUUUCGUCUCUUUCUCUGUUUCUUUUCUGUUCAUCUUUUGUUUCUUUU